UCAUUAUUGAAUUUUGAAAGAGGGGGUUGGUAGCUGAUCUUUCAAAGAUAUGUGCACACCUUUUAAUCUAUCCCAACCCCACCCAUGUGCACCUUUUUGUAGGCGAAAGGAGACGUUGUUUUGCCUAUGUUUUUUUUUUUCACACGCUAUAAUGUAAAAAGAAUAAUAUGAUAAAAAUGAUAAUACAACUUUCAACAACGGAUCUCUUGGCUCUCGCAUCGAUGAAGAACGCAGCGAAAUGCGAUAAGUAAUGUGAAUUGCAGAAUUCAGUGAAUCAUCGAAUCUUUGAACGCACCUUGCGCUCCUUGGUAUUCCGAGGAGCAUGCCUGUUUGAGUGUCAUUAAAUUAUCAACCUCUUUAAAAGAGGCUUGGAUGUGGAGUGUUGCUGGCUUUUUCAAUGUCGGCUCCUCUUAAAUGCAUUAGCUUUUGUUGUAAGGCUUUGGUUUGAUAAUUAUCUAUGCCAUUGCUUUCAACAACUCAUCCUUUGAAAUUUGACCUC
rnacentral:misc_RNA from 1 species